ACGAACGCUGGCGGCUUGCUUAACCCCUGCAAGUCGAACGGACAGGCCCUGCUUUUGUGGGGUGCUCGAGUGGCGAAUGGGUGAGUAAUACGUGAGUAACCUGCCCUUGCCUUUGGGAUAACUUCAGGAAACUGGGGCUAAUACCGGUUCGGCGCUCCUGCUGCAUGGUGGGGGUUGGGAAGUUUCGGCGGUUGGGGAUGGACUCGGGGCUUAUCAGCUUGUUGGUGGGGUAGUGGCAUACCAAGGCUUUGCCUGGUAGCCGGCCUGGGAGGGUGACCAGCGACAUGGGGACUGAGGGACGGCCCAGUCGCGUACGUGAGGCAGCAGUGGGGAAUAUUGUACAAUGGGCGGAAGUGUGAGGCAGAAGCGCCGGGGUCGUGAAGACGGCUUUCUGGGAAUGAACCGCUGUCGCCUGAGACGAAGCGGUAGUGACGGUAACGAGUAAAGAAGCACCGGCUAACUUCGUG
rnacentral:rRNA from 1 species